GCCUAAAGAGAAGCUUGCGGCUGAUUAGCUUGUUGGUGAGGUAAUAGCUCACCAAGGCGACGAUCAGUAUCUGGUUUGAGAGGACGAUCAGACACACUGGAACUGAGACACGGUCCAGACUCCUACGGGAGGCAGCAGUAGGGAACUUUCCGCAAUGGGCGAAAGCCUGACGGAGCAAUACCGCGUGAGGGAUGACGGCCUAUGGGUUGUAAACCUCUUUUUUCAGGGAGGAAUAAAUGACGUGUACCUGAAGAAUAAGCAUCGGCUAACUCCGUGCCAGCAGCCGCGGUAAGACGGAGGAUGCAAGUGUUAUCCGGAAUCACUGGGCGUAAAGCGUCUGUAGGUGGUCCAAUAAGUCAACUGUUAAAUCUUGAGGCUCAACCUCAAAACCGCAGUCGAAACUAUUAGACUAGAGUAUAGUAGGGGUAAAGGGAAUUUCCAGUGGAGCGGUGAAAUGCGUAGAUAUUG
rnacentral:rRNA from 1 species